CUCAGCCACUGAGAGAUACAUCAGCUUGAUGUUCACUGCCAUUCUAAAGCUCUCUGCAUUCUUUGUGAAAAGGUUUUGAUGGUGUAAGAAAAUAAGAAAGCCACAUCUUCAAAAUGCAGCUUCUGAAACCAGAUAAAAGCUUGAAUUCCACUUGGAGAGGCUGAUCCACAGGGGCAAAUGCAAAAGGAAGGUGCUCAAGGCCUGUGUCCUGGGAUGCUGAAAACAUCAGAUGUGGCCAUAGCUGGAAACAGGGCAACAAAAUGCUAGACUGCAGAUGCUGGAUUCUGUUUUACACUUAUUUUUUCCACAGAUCUCAAGGGAAAGAAACUAUCACUCACAGCUCAUACCUGAACAACAGAAUGAACUCUUUCAUCCCGACAAAGAAAGAUUACUUGACAGAACCAGAGAGUGUAUCCACAAUCCUGACGGUGAAAGAAGGACUUUGAUACAGUUUGAUUAUUUUUUUCUUCGUGCAGAAACUCUAUUUCAGUUUCAGAGGACUCUUUAUUUUGUUUUGAUUCUUUUCCUUUUGUGUAUCUUGGUCAAUAAAUGUCCAAACUUUG
ensembl:lncRNA